rnacentral:rRNA from 1 species
UACGAAGGGAGCUAGCGUUGUUCGGAAUCACUGGGCGUAAAGCGCACGGAGGCGGAUUUGUAAGUCAGGGGUGAAAUCCCGGGGCUCAACCUCGGAACUGCCUUUGAUACUGCGAGUCUCGAGUCCGGAAGUGGUGAGUGGUAUUCCUAGUGUAGAGGUGAAAUUCGUAGAUAUUAGGAAGAACACCGGUGGCGAAGGCGGCUCACUGGUCCGGUACCGACGCUGAGGUGCGAAAUCGUGGGGAGCAAACAGG